UAAAAUAAUUUGGUGGUGGUUUUUUUGCUUUUUUUUUGUGAAAAAAAAUCAUCUUUAGAAUGGAUUUGUCUUUCAUUGUUUUGGCGGAAAAAGCCAUUUUAAUAUGGAAAUUGUGGGGAAAAGCCAGUUCAAAAUUGAAACAUUCCCCUUAUUUUUUGGUGGAAAAAAAUACAGUUUAAAACUAUUUAAUUAUAUUUAUAUUUUUAUUUCUAUUAAAGAUACAGUGUAAAAGGGACAUUUCCCCUUUUUUGUGGGAGAACCAGGUUUAAAAUCUAUAUUUUUUCCCCAUUUUUUAUGGAAAAACCCAUUUAAAAAAUUAUUUCCCCCCAUUUUCUCUGGAAAAACCCAGUUAAAAAUACAAAUUGUUCCCAUUUUUCUGUAGAAUUCACAAUUCACCUCAGUGGACUUUCAGUGGGACUUAAUAAUAUUAAAGGCCAAUGUAAACAAUUCCAUGCUUUAUGGAGCUAAAAAAUAAACAUGGAUUUGAAACAGAGAGGGGAAAGGAGCUGAGGGAAAUAAUAAAAAUGGGUGUAAAUCUGUGGGAUUUUCGACUCUUGAGGUGGAACUUGAUAUCUGAUGCCCUGAAGCUGACAAAUUUUAUUUUUUUUUUCCUUAGGAAUGACACAGAAAACACAACGGGGCCAGGCAUGAGAAGAGUUCCCAGAAGUUGUUGAAGAGCAGCCUGGAAAGCAAAAUAUUUUCAGGGAUGUCCCUUCAUUAAGGGACAAUUUGUGUUUAUUCCGUGCUCUGUGCUGGAGAUCUGGUGGAUAUAGAGCUAGAAGUUCUGUAGAACCUGGGAUCCCUGCAGGAGGAAGGUCCUGGAGAAAUGUGGAUUUGGGUGAGGCAGCAGGAAAAUCCCACAGGGGAACUGGAACAGUCCUGGAGCCACCUGAGAGCUGGAGGACCCUGGGACACACCAAGGGGCACCGGGGAGAUCACCAGAGGCACUCCCAGGAGAUCACCAGUGUGAAUCCCACAGACUCCUCCUUCCAUCUCCUCUCCUGAAGAAACUUGUAGAGGAGAACUUUUAAGACCUGCUGAAGCACUCUGAGAGACCCCAGCUGUGGUUCUAGGGGAGAAAAAGCAAAAUAUCAGCUGCCAGUGUAAGAGCUGGAAGUGUUUCCCACUCUGCUGUCUGCUUUUCUGGUGAUGGGAACAGAAAAUGUGCGAAGCACCUGAGGAAGGCAGUGGAAAAGGAGGAGGAGUUGAUAAAAGUGUGCAGGUUUCUAAGAAAACAGAGCUACUCCUGGGACAGUUCCCAAAGGGCAAGCAAUAACUGUGAGGUACUCCCCCAAAUAUUGUACCUAAUUUCAGGACGUUCUUCCUGACAAACUAUCUUAGGAGCCAAAGCAACAGGUGACAGAAGCUUUCAAGGACCCACCUCAGGCCAUGUGGUUUGAGAGGGUUUGGACCCCAUGCCAAACUCAAUGGUUACAACUGGAGUAAGAAAAAGGGCUGGGAAAGCUCCAGUACAACCCAGCAGAAGACACCUGUUUCUCUGGGUGCUCCCUGCCUUAGUGGCUUGAUAAAAUCAGCUGACAACCCAAUCAAACCCCACAGACAGGAAAUCAUCGUCCUCAAGAGGCCCCUGCCCUUCUCUACUGAAAAUAAUUCCAUUUUAUACAAGCAAAGUGCUCCCAGUUGCUCCUCCUCAAGCACCUUUAGUGAGGGACACCUCAAACCCCAGAGGGAAACUCACAGAGCCACCACAAACAAACGUCACAGAGCAGGAAUUCCCCCCAGACAGAAAUGUUACAGCUCCAGCAAGCUCGGUCUGGCUCUGCAGCAUUUUGAACUGCCAUAAGAAACCCUUAGGAAGUGUCCCAGAGCAGGUUUUGUGUAAAUACCAAAGGAGCCAGAUCAUUCCUGCUGUUCCCUGGGCGAUCCAAGCCGUUGUCACCGUGCCUUCAGCACACAGAGUGCUAUGUCAUGCACUGUGGGAGCAACCCAUCCAAUCACAUGAGCACGUGGGGCAAAUUUAUUCUACAAACCUUCUUUUUCAGACUAAAAGAAAUCAAAAAAAAGUGUUAAAAAGCGAAUUAUUUUUUUUUUCAGGAACAACAUAAUUUAAGGAAUGAGCAUUUUGCCAUAAAUGUGACGAAGAAACAUCAGAGUUUUUUGGGGAGUGGCCAUAAUUCACGUGCCUGUUUCCCAUCUCCUUUUUAUCCCUAGGGAGAUCCCAGCAUGACCAGCUCAGCACCCACAGCUGUGCUACAAAAGUGCAAAGCAGGGUGAGAUAAUCCACAUUUUAAGCCCCUUUCAGGUGUGUUGGCCAUGUAAGCACUGAGAAAACUCCAGGAAACCCCAACUGCAAUAAUUAUUGUGAUUUAAUUGCUUCACUGAUACAAGUUUAACUCAAACACCGGUGGUGUAACUUCUGAUUUAACAUCUCAGUCCACACAGAAAACUCUUAUUCCAGGCUGAUUAUCUCCAUCCUUCACAGAACAGGCACUUCCUAUUAAAUGAUGUGGGAAAAGUGCCCCCAAGAUUUGCAUGACCUACUUGAAUCA